AUUGUGGUUUGGGGGUCAGCACCCACCAGUGCCAGGGCACUACUGGGAGGCUGGGACCUGACCAAAGCCCAUGGUGUCUGUGGCCUGAGGACAGGGUGUCUUGGGGCCAUGAGGACAGGCCACCAAUGGCCGUUGGGUCAUAGGGCCUGAGCCCCAGUGUUUGUCCUUCCCUGGCUCCUUCUGGUUCAGUCCCAUCAGGGCUCUGGAUCCCAAGACGCAGCAUCCAAGGUUCCCUCCAGGAAUCCUGGUGGCUCGGCUUACUUUGUCAUGUUUCAUCUGAUAGCAAAAAUAUCAGAUCGGCUGCACAGAAAAAUGGCUCAAAGUGCUUAAUGACCAGAAGAAAUCUGGGAGUAGCAAGAAGGUGUGGGGCUGGGUAUGGUCACUCCUGCUGGAUGUCUAGAAGGUGAAAACCAAGGACCUAGGAAAAUACCAGAUACAGCCUUUCCACCGUCAUCCAGAGCAGGACAAACACGCCAGGUGGUGUCAGGAGCCCAGGUCUCCAGCUGGAGGGAAUGUCAACCCUGCAGUGGGAGCCCAUCAUGCAUCCUAGGCACAGAUGCUAACGUAGGCACCGCAGGAAUCCCAGUGAAUAUAUUGCCACCAUCUUGGAGCUCAGUGCCCUCAUAGUGUAACAGCACCAGCAGAUCUGCCUGUGCACAGACUUCCUGUACUACC
rnacentral:lncRNA from 1 species